CAUCCGAACCUCCCCAGGGCAGGAAUGCAGCAAGGAUAAGGGUGCGCUGCCGGGUAUGCGGGGGAUUCUUUUAUA
rnacentral:SRP_RNA from 1 species